ensembl:lncRNA
CAAGAGCCUGAUGGUCAUUGACAGAGUUCCUGUGUCAAAAUGGGAGAACCUUCCAGAAGGACAACCAUCUCUGCAGCACUCCACCAGGCCUUCAUGGUCGAGUGGCCACUAGGAAGUCACUCCUCAGUAAAAGCGGUCUACACCAGCGGUUCCCAACUCCAGGAACCAUUGGUUUACACAAUCCCCACAAGGUUAAGUGAAUGUGCUGAACAUGGAUUCCACUCCGCAAGAAUAAAACCUGAGCGUGACUCAGUACUGUUGAAAUAAAAUAAAGUUGACUGGGAGAGCAAAAUUGCAUGCAAUGCGGAGCUGCAGAUAUGUCUGUCUGAGGGAUCCAAGAAUUCACAGCAACGGAAGAACCGUACCCAGACAUCAAGAAACAGCAGACAGCAAAACUCUAAGGAGCAGGAACGUGACUGUGUCUACGCUACAUGCUCAGUACACGUGUGUAUGUAAUUU